UACGGAGGGAGCUAGCGUUGUUCGGAAUUACUGGGCGUAAAGCGCACGUAGGCGGCUUUCUAAGUCAGGGGUGAAAUCCCGGGGCUCAACCCCGGAACUGCCCUUGAAACUGGAUGGCUAGAAUCCUGGAGAGGCGAGUGGAAUUCCGAGUGUAGAGGUGAAAUUCGUAGAUAUUCGGAAGAACACCAGUGGCGAAGGCGGGUCUCUGGGCAGUAACUGACGCUGAGGAGCGAAAGCGUGGGGAGCGAACAGG
rnacentral:rRNA from 1 species